rnacentral:SRP_RNA from 1 species
GCCGGGCACGGUGGCUCAUGCCUGUAAUCUCAGCACUUUGGGAGGCCGAGGCAGGCGGAUCACCUGAGGUCAGGAGUUCUAGACCAGCCUGACCAACAUGGAGAAACCCUGUCUCUA